ACUACUUUCUUUUGCUUUACUCCAGAACUGAACAAUGCCACAAAAACAUUCUUUACUAAAGAAUAUUUGAAAAUUAAACAAAGCUUUCAGAAGUCCAGCUCUGCAAAAUGGCCUCUACCAAGCUGCAGAAAAGCUUUUCAUCUUUUUGGAGGUAAGGAAACUAAUACCUACCCAUCCCCGACCCAAAAUAAAAUUCUUGUAACUGUCAAUUUUUCCAAGCCUAUUCUAAUACCUAAUUUCUUCCUGUCUUAAAAAUGUUAGUGGAUAUAUUUCUGUAUUGAUCUAAUUUAAGUAAAGGUUUUGCUAAAUAUCUCCUUGCUGAAUGCUACAAAUAUACAUAUGAAGACAAUGAAGUCUAUACAUUGAAAGCAAAUUUGAGAGAAACCAGUAUUAAAUUGACUUUCCUGGGGAGAAUAAGAGGGAAGGUGGAUGGAGAAAGAUUGGUCAUUGGGUUCUAAGUUACAGUGAGAUAAAAGUAAGAAGUUCAGGUGUGCUAUGGAAUAUACUAUAGAUAAUAAUAAUGUACUGUAUAUUUCAAAAAGCUAGAAGAAAAGAUCGUGCAUAUUUUCACCAUAAAGAAAUGAUAGAUGUUUGAGGAGAUAGAUAUAUCUAACCUGAUUUAAACAUUACAAUAUAUGCUGUAUCAAAAACAUAAUAUCAUACCUCAUUAAUAUGUAUAUCAGUUAAAAAUUCAUAAAAAUAAAAAUAAAUUAACUUUGCCUUUCCAUCAGUGGUUAAUAUAUCUAUGAUAAACAGGCAUCCCACAAGUAUCAGAUUUGAUAAAAAACUAUUUGACAAAAGCACUAGUACUGUUAAUAAAAAUUUUUAUUAAUUCAAUUAUCAUAAGCUAAAUUUAUGUAGUUUAAUAUAUUAUAAUUCUAGCACAAGUUUAGGACAAGUAGAAAGUGACAGAGCCUUGGAGUAGAGGGUAUCACAGAACUGAACAAUGGUCUGAGAAUGGUAUACCAGUGUCUAGGUUCAGGUCUAAGUAGCUAUAUGAUUUAAGGAAUGUCAUGAGCACCUCUAUUGCUUGUAUUCAGAUAAAGUGUAAAUGAUUUUAUCUGCCCCACCUAAUUAAUAUACUAAUUGUAAAGACUGAAUGAAACUAAUGCCAUUUUGAGCUUAAAGAAUGUGUUACUGUAUGACCAUACAACAUGGACAUAAAAUAUAAAGUCAUCUUUUAUAAAUUCUUGGUUUGUAAGAGCAUGAAUUACUAUGUAGUUUUAUCAUUUACAACUUAUGAUAUUAUGGGGCCAGAUAGGGGAAUCAUGAUCUUCAGAGAACAGAAGGAACUUCUACAUAAGAAAAUAAGACCAAUACAGUGAUGACAAAGACCCAAAGCAGAUAGAGGCAGAGCCUGUAUGGUGGAGGCAAAAAAUAAAUUGAUACACUAAAUCUCUUAAGUUUGAAGGAAGUAAGUGAAGGACAAAUAUAACUUUGUACAGUGGUUCAAAUGAAUAAAAUAGUUUAAGGAUACUCAGUAAGCCCUUAUGUCUUUAUAAUUUGGUUAGUAUCUAAAAAUAUUAUCUAGGAUUUGGUAUAAAUAGGUUUAAAACUGUAACAUUUAGCCCAAAAUAUAAUAGAAAAUCAAAUAUGAGAAAAAUCAGCUUUACAUAAAGAAUUCAUACCCAAAAGGAGAAUAUUUAUAAUUUGGUUUUUGUUCUUUAAGAAGUUCCCUGUAUCCUGGGUGAGGGCUGUGGCUCAGUAGUAGUGCACUUGGCUGGCAUGUGUGAGGCACUGGGUUCCAUUCUCAACACCACAUAUAAAUAAAUAAAAAAGGUCUAUCAACAACUAAAAAAAAAUUAAAAAAAGAAGUUUCCUUUAUCCUGUCUUCUACCUUACAUUCAGUUUAUUUAAAUACAAUAAUCCCACAUUUUCCUUUGUCUUUUUCUAUUCUGAAGUAAAAGUGAAGCAAUAAUUCAAAUAGGUGUUCCUUUGUGAUUUUUGUUUUAUUUGUCCUAUGUGGAGCAGAAGAGUGCCAUAGACCUUGAUUUAAAAAAAAUUUAAUACUUACACAGGAGACUAAACAAAUUAAGUUGGAUUAUAUGGUACAAUAUUAAGAUACCUUUGAACUUACUGUUUUAGAAAAACAAGCAAUGAUAUACAGUAUGUUCUUGCUUUAGUGCAUGAUAAAAUUAAAUGUAGUACAACCCAGACAUUAACACCUACAUAUAAAUACAUGUAAAUGCAUAUCAUUAGGCAUCCAUAGAAAAGUGAGGGUGUGAGAGCAUCACAUGCAACAUACACACAUGUAUGUGUUUAAAGUAAAACUUGAUUAUAUCAUACAUUUUUAUGGUAGAAGUUCAAAAUAUUUUUAUUACAUCAUUCAAUUUAAGAAGUAUUGUAGUAUCACAAGCUCAGCUGAACUGGACAAGAGCUGAACUGUCAGGUAACUAAGUAAGGUAAAGCAACACACCAAAAAGGAGAGAAUUAAGCUUUCAAUCACUUGCUACAAUGGCAUAAGCAAAUCUAAACCUAGAGAAAAUGCAUACUCCCUUUUCCAUUUUCUCCAUAGAAUAAGCAUACUGGCCCAGGGUCAGGUGGAGCAGAGCAGAUGUGGGGAUUGACUCACUGUACAGAAACUAAGUCUCCAACAGUUUUAUGGGUCCUGGAGUCAGGGGGAGAAUAACAUGGAGGAAGGGCUACUAGUGAGAAAAAAAAAAUUGGAUAUGGAGUCACAAUGGAGAAAAGUCCCCUCAAGUUAUCCUCUUCUAAUCCCCAAAAAGAGGCAUCAGCAGAGGCAACUGAAAAAGACCUCUGUGCACUGUCUCAGAUAAAGAACCUUGCAAUGAAGAUGCUGUGAAAGAGCAUCCACUGACCUUGAGACCUUGACUGCCACUCCCUGUGGAGACUGUAAAUACUGCCUGUGCAGCAAGUCUGGCAUAGGAAGGGCAGCUUUCUGCUAUGAGGCCUACAGUAACAGUGGCUAGACCUAAUACACACAGGAUUGGGAAUCAGAUAUCUCAAUUAACAAUAUUAUUGAAGCACUUUCUGUACUUCUCUUUGUUUGCCUCUUGCCUCCCCCCAAAUAUUUUAUUUAUCAUUUCUGUAUAGAUAUACAUAUAUACUUAAUCAACAUUAUUUAUUUUUGCUUGUUUUUGCACUUUUGUGAUGGUAACAAAUGUACAUAUUCCACAUUUACUUUGCCACUCAGUAUUAGGUUUCUCAAAUCUAUGUAUUUCAGUAAAUAUAGUGACAUUUGUUUAUUUUUUACUGCUGUACUAUAGUCAAUUAUAUGAAUGUACUAAAAUUUGUUCAUUCUCCUGUGGAUGAAUUGAGUUAUUUGACCUUUUCAUUGUUAUAAACAAUGCUACUGUAAACAUUUUCGUGUCUUCUGGAAUAAUUGCCAAUAGAAACUUGGGAGAUCAUAGGAAAAGUACAUCUUGAAGUUGAUUACCUAAACCAAACUAUUUCCCUAAAUGACUGUACUGAUUUUUCAGUAGUUUUGUCUAUCGCAUUUGAUCUUUUCAGUCUUUUAUAAUUUGCUAGUCUUGUAACUAUAAAAUAACACCACAGUGGGGUUUUAAUUUCCAUUACUGUGAUGGGGGUUGAAUAUGGCUUUGUCUAUAGGUAUAUUGGCCAUUGAGUUUUUUCAUUUGUUGAAUACUUAUUUACAAAUUUUAUAUAUUUUUCUAUGAUAUUUUUGUUAAUUUUUAAGAGUUUAUAAUAUUUUUCUGGUGAUUACUUUUUCUGUUAAUUAUAUGAAUAGCCAUUCUCAUCACUGUUUGAAGUCUGCCUUUUUACUUCAUUGUAUCUUUUAAUGAAUUAUAGUUCUUCAUUUUCUUCAUUUUUCUGGUAUGUACUGUUAAAGAAAUUUCUCUCUAUUCUCAGGGUCACAAAGAUAACUUCUUAUAUAUUUUUCAAAUAGUUUUAAAGGUCUUUGGAAUUGACUUAUGUUAUAUUGUUUUAUGAAGUUUUUGUUUUGUUUUGUUUUGCUAUGUGCCAUGUAGGGAACCAAUUUCUUUGAGGAAUUUUUGCUAUUUAAUUUUUUCCAUUUAUUAAUAAUUUCUCUACUGAUGUAUGAUACCAAUCUGUCAUAUUUAAAUUCCCUUAUGCUCUAUAUCUGAGUUCUUAAUUUGAUUCCAUUGGUUUAUUUGCCUAUUCUUAGGCCAAACACCAAGCCUUUAUAUUUAUAAGCUUUUAAAUCUUCCCUCUAGCUUGUUCUGUUUCACAAGUAUCUUAGCUAUUUUGAGGACCUCUGCUCUAUUAUUUGUCUAUCAUGUUCUCUGUUAUAAGAAAUUCUUAACUUCAUUGUACCUGAAUCAAAUUCUUGCUUUACCAUUUGUUUUGAAAUUUCAUUUUAAAAAGUUCUUCACCACUCCCAGACCACACAGGUUUUCACUUAGAUUUUUUUUUUCUAUGUUUACAUUGUGGUUUUACCUUUCACAUGUAGGUCUUUAACUAGAGUCUACCCUUUAUAUUGUGUUACAAAGGAUUCACAACUUUUUUCAAGUAAAAGCCCAUUUUUUCCAAAUAUUUAUUAUACAGCAUUGUUGCAUUUGUAAAGAUUAUUUACUGUUGUCUUAUAGAAAUAUAGUAUAAUGUGGGAAAAUGAUCUAAUAUUUAACAACCAUACUAAAUAAUCUAAUUAAGUUUAAUAUUUAAAUGGUCUUAGGUGCUUUCAGUGAAGAUGAUUAUAAGUAUAGUUUGACAUCUUUGUUAAACUAUGCUUACACUGAACAGUUAAACAUCUAAUGCAUAUAUACUUUCUUUCUCUUUUAUCUUGAUGAACAUUUUGAACUGGGUUCUCUGUUCUAUUUUGAACAAAAUUAGUGAUAGUAGCAUCCUUAAUUUUAGAUGGAAUGCUUUUAAUAUUUACCAUUGAAUAUAAUUGUUUUUUCUUGUUGUUGAUGUUCUUUCUGUACCAUACUAAGAUAAUUUUCUAUGUCAUUAACUUUUAUCCUUUUUACCAACUUCAUUAUUUAAUGUUAUAAAGUUUUCUGCCAUCACAUAUUUUUGUUAUUCUUCAUUUCUAAUGUUUAAAUAAGUGAUAUUUAAUUAUAUACUGAUCGAGUCAUAUUGAUUCAAAAUAAAGUAAUUAUUCAAAAAUCAGGAUUAUACUGGAAAAUAAGAGUCUGUGAUUUAUCACUAUUAUGCAAACCAUACCAUCUAUGCUAUGUUAAUAGGUUACCUGAGAAAUUUAUUUUUCAGCUGUUUUUCACAGUUGCUAGGAGGAAGUAAGGUGGGAAAUGCAAUCUGGAAAAAAACAACACAUUCCAGUAUUUGACUUUGGCUCCAGAAUUUUAUCAAAAAAAAAAAAAAACCACUUGAAUGUAGAUUUCCCUAGCCAGUGAUACUCACAUAAAACUUUUCAUGAACUCAGCCACAAAAACUAGCUCACACUUUAACUAUAAUACUUGUUGUUUUCCUUUGGAUUCUGUGAGGUACUGUCUAGGAUACACUGAUGAGAAAGCAGACAUGUUUAAUUCUUUUUCUCUUAUAAAUACAUAUUUCAUGUAUUUAUACGUAAAAUAGGUAAUAUGAAAAGGAAUAAAAUAUUCUGAAAAAAUGUGAGCUUGCAUUUUCCAUUUCACAUCAAGUCUAGUUGCACUGAUGACUGUGUCAGUCCUAGUUCGUGCCUCUGAGUAUCUGACAUUCCCAUGCAUUACAACCUCUGUUUAUUUUAUCAGUAACCAAUUGUCAUGGUUUCCAGUCCUGCCCUAUCAACUUAUGCCCUAAGAAACCACUUUGUGUGUGUGUAUAAUGUAUCUAUCUCAUUAUGUAUGAUAUGUACAAAAUUAUGUGUGUGUUUGUGUCGCAUACACACAUACAUACACAAAGUAAAAACUAGCUGAGAAGUUUUAUUAAAAUAUUUUUGCCAAAAGGGGAAAAAGAUGAGUUUCACAUUGUUGAUAUCUGUUUUUUCUAAAUUCAGCUCAAAGAAAUGAAAAGAAGAAAAUCAGGAUUUAAAAAAAGCAUGUCCUUUUUCUAUAACAAAAACAUGCAGCUGAAAUGCAGGUGUCGGAGAUAUAUGUAUGACAAGGCCAUCCAUUUCUCAGGAAAGGCAAGGGGAAUUGUUUUAUUUGGUCAUUAGUUUUUCUGAAGGUGUUAGAUUGGUUUUGCAAGUUUAAACGUGUUCAGUAUAAUUCAAAGAAUAUCUACAUGGGAAAGAGUGCUAGCCUCUAAUAGAAAACAAAGCACUGUAUGCUCAAACAACAGGACUUUGAUUAUAGCCCAGAAAUAUUCCUUCUCAGAAAGUUAGAGGUAAAUUGGAGAAUUUUUUUUCUUUUUUUUUUUUAUUGGUUGUUCAAAACAUUACAAAGCUCUUGACAUAUCAUAUUUCAUACUUUAGAUUCAAGUGGGUUAUGAACUCCCAUUUUUACCCCAAAUAAAUUGUAGAAUUUUAAAAUGUACUGUAAACUUGGUGCUGCCUGUUAGCAGAAGGUAUAUUAGUGUUUACAUUUUCUCAAAAACUGCAACAAUUUUAUUCAUAUGAUAAGCUUUUGAAAAUGCCUAGGAAUUCUGAAGUGUCUUUUUCUUUCUUUUUACUGUGGCAGAAUUAGGUUCUGUUUUUUUCUCUGAGAUGUACUUAUGAGUUUGAAAUUUAUUUCAGAAGCAAACACUGCAACAAGUUUUGCAUUAUCUAAGCUACUUUUAAAAAUAGUUACAUACCAUUCUAAAAUGUGAAAUCAUAGAUUCUUACAGAAAGAAUGCACAUGUCACUUCCCCAGCCACUUUAAGAACAACUUCAAUAAUCAUACUCAAAGACUUCUAGAAUCUGCUUAUCACAAGCAGUGACAGGGAUCUCAUCACCAUACAAAAAUAAGCUUAUUCAUCUUAACAAAUAUAUCAGAGUUUCUAUGUUGAAUUGAAAUCUGCCUUCUCACAAUUUUUUAUUGGUUCAAGUGUAUUUUAAUCUAAUCUUACGCUACAUAAUGUUACUUCAAAUAUGCAAAGACACAUAUAAUAGCACUUCCACAAGUCUUUAAUCUGCAAACUAAAUCUACAUUCCUUCAACUGUUCCUAAUGGAUUUGAGGAACCUGAUUGCUGAUUUCAGAGAUACAAAAUAGGCUAGAAAUUAUGUCUACUGGGUACUGAUAAACUGAGCGUGUAAUGCUUAAAAAUAGAUACUUUAGGGUAAAGAACUGUGAUUGACAAGAGUCAUCAGUGAAAUGAAUACUUAUGAAGGAUGUAAAGCUUACAUUUAUCUGGGUUUCCAUUUCUUUUCACAUUACCCAGUGUUAUUUUGGUGUUGGGUCACUGAAUCCAUGGUCUGUCUAAGGCUAAAUAGUUCAGUUGAGCAAUGGACUCAAAAUUAAAAUAUUUUAAUUUUGCUUCUAUAUUAUGCUUAUGAUAACAAAUGAAUUAUAAUGCAAAUUAUUCAAAUAUCACUACUUUAUAAUUAUUAUUUAUUUUUAAAAUUAAUAGCAGUGUUUCAUUUUCUCAAUCCUUCUCUUUCCUUUAUUCUUCCUCCCUCUCUCUUUCACACACACACACUCUCUUCAUUGUUUCAUAUAUGUAGAAUUUUCUUAAUUGCCUAUGAAGUUGGAUGUUAGUAGGAAAUGCUGCCUUGUAAAAUACUUUCAUGUAUAACAUAAAUGCACACAUAUGUACAUACAUUAAAAAUCAAACCACUGACUCCAGGACCUCUGAGAUUGACACAUAAAACAAAUUCUCUUGGUAAGAGAGGGUAGUCCUGGCCUUAACCUUGAGCUCACUAUUUUAAUGCUUUGUCCUAGUACUAAUGCUUUCCCUAAUGAUCCUGCAGAAUAGAUGACAACAAGUUAAAAAGUUUAAAUAUGUGGUAAGGUGACUGAUAUUGGACACUGGAUUAUUGGACCUUUUGAUGUAGAGAGCUAGAAAGAAAGUGAAGGAGCUCAGCAUAGCCAAACUCAUAGUGAACCAUUGAUCUUUAAUAAAUGGUAUUAUUUAAUUCUUCAGAAAACUUAAAAAAUAUUCAAGCAUUCUAAAGUUUGACCACUGUGUGACUCCCUUAUUGUAGCAAUGGGUAAUAAGUGUAUCAUUGUGAACCAUCAUGGUAAACUAUGGUCAGUCUUAGGAUAGAACAUGAAGACAGAGAAGGUAGGCAAUUAAGUCCCUUAAGUGAGAAGACAAAAACCUACUUGUUUUGGGGAGAACAUGUGGUGACUUCAUCCUAUUCUAUAAUCAUAGUGAGUAGAGAACACUUGUAAUUGUGGAUACUCAGCCCUAGCACAUAGAGAUGGGCAGGCUAUGCAGAGGUACAGUAAGAGUGAAGCAGGUUCUGUGCAAUGGCUGCAGAUUAUUCUUGUCGGUAACUUUUUAUCCCAAAUGAUCAGAAAAUGUUAUGAAAAGCUACAGCAGGCUUCUUCUGUCCUGCGGGCUUGUUACAUAUUUGAGAAACAGUGGCAAAAAUUAGUUUGGGACUGUUCUCUCUUACUUCAGCCCUGGAAGAGUAGCUAUCUCAUUUGAUCAAAAGCAAUAGAAGUGGCAUUGCCAGAUGAGAAGACCAGAUUAGAGGAAUGCAUGGGACCAGAUUCUGAGCAUAAUAAUGAGAAAAUAACCACAGGACCUUGAGGAAUAGCAGGCACAUUUAUAUAUUAAAUUUUUUGCUCCUAUCAACAGCAAUGGGGAUUUCUACUUCAGAGUAGGAUGUAAUAAGUCAUAUCAAGCCAUAAUUCUCUGAGACAAUAUGACAAAUUACCAAAAGUCAUAUUUUAUAAUCUGAGAGCUGUGUAGUUAAAGACUAGAUGAAUUAAAAUUCUAGUAUGAUAAGAGCCACCUAUGAAAACUAAUAUUGCCAGCUGUUUGUUUCACUGGACAUAUUUUAUGAGUCUUGGAAUUAUCUGGAGAUCGGUUUUAUCUUAGGUGGAGAACUCUAUUUGGGGAAGAGAAAUAACCAGAGGUUUUGAUAACCAUGUAGACUGACAUGUCAGAUUGGAAAACAAGUUCAAACAUAUGGUCACCAUGAGACAUUUGCUAAGAGUUAUGGCAGUACAAGACAAGUUGAUACCUCACAAAGGCAGAAUAAAAUCUUUCCAGGCUCAUAGCUUAGGAAUCAAACUGUUCUAUAGUGAGGGACCUGCAACAAAUACAGUCCACCUUAAAACAUUCCUCAUAUUUUAAACCUUUGGAGAAUAGAAGGCUAACAAACAACAUUCACCUCUGAGAAGUAGAACUUUCAGAUUAGAGGAGACAGAGUUCUGCUGAACUAUUAACCAGACAACCCAGAGGACCAAGCUUAAGGAGAUGUCAAGACUUGAAAAAAUACAAACAACAAUAAAACAGAAAAGCAUUAAAAGUUUCCUAUUAUGUCCCCCUAGUUCAAUGAUGCUUUGGAGAUAAAGUUCCAUAAAAGAAUGAAGCUGCAAUAAAGACGAUAGAUCAUGCUUUAAGGCAUUUAAAGUCAAAGGCUGACUAAGUCUAAUGAAAGCUGUAUCCCACAAAACUUCUUAUUGAUUAUUGUAUCAAGGUGAUGAGUCUCCUUACCCUGCCUGACAAAAGAAAGGCUCCACCCUCUUCUAGAGGGAAAUAAUAUCAACUUAAAUCUCCAUAGAUCCUUUAUACAGUAAAAUUUAAGACAUGCCAAGGAUUAGGAAACUGUGACUAAUAAUCAAGAGACAAAGCACAAAACAAAAAUAGAUCCCUAGGUUAUCUAGAUGUUGGAAUCAUCAAACUGUGACUUUAACGUAACUAUUAGGGAAAAAAUUGUCCCCUUCAACUGGAACCACCAUCUUCUAGUAAUAUGCUAAAAUGAAUAAUACAAAGAGAAGGAGAAAAGACCCCCAAGUAUGUUUUCGGAAAACAUGGAGCUGGGGCUGGGGCUGUAGUUUAGUGGUGGAGGGCUUCCCUAGUGCAUGUAAAGCACUGGGUUCGAGCCUCAGCACCACAUAAAAAUAAUAAAUAAAAUAAAGGUAUGGUGUUCAUCUACAACUAAAAAAAAAUAUUUUUAAAGAAAGAAAAUAUGGAGUUUUUUCUUUAGUCACAUGCAUAGAAAUCUACCACAAAGUGAUACUGUAAACAUCAAGAGAAUGCAUGCUGUUCCAAAAAGAAUGCCUCACCAAUGUCAACAUGGAAAAACUGUAAGUGUACACAGUGUUACCCAGCAUGCUGUUGGCAUUAUGGUAAGCAAACAAGUUAAGAGUAAGAUUCUUGCUAAGAAAAUCAAUGUAUUUGAUUAAUUUGCUAUUGAUCAAAUUAAGUACUUGAUAAGAACCAAGAUAGCUUCCUGAAAUAUAGGAAGAUAGAUAAAUAAAUAAAUAUAUGGUCCUGCGUUCUACUGAAGCAUCGGUCUGUCUACUUCCUCUAGAGAAAAGCAAGAACUAGUGAAAAGGAAUCUGAGCUAUUGAAACUUAUCCCUAUGGAUUCUAUCACAAGAAAUUUUAAAAAUAAAACCUUCUCAACGAUAAAGAUAUUUGUCUUCAUUGAGAAGAAGUGUGGUAUUACCCUUCCACAAAGAAAUAUUUAAAGCAAACUUGUCCAAAAACAUUAGUGAAAAUAAAGAAAAAUAUUAGUGGAAUAUGUAAAAGAGGUGUAAAAUGUCAAAAAAAAGUGGAAGCUAUGAAAAAACAUUCUGGAACUACAAAGUACAGUAUCUACAUUAAGAAUGUAUUAGGUGGGGCUGGGGUUGUAUAGCUCAGUGGUAGAGCACUUGCCUAGCAAUUGUGAGGCACUGGGUUUGAUCUUCAGCACCACAUACAAAUAAAUAGAUAGAUAGAUAGAUAGAUAGAUAGAUAGAUAAAUGAUAUUUUUAAAAAAGAAUGUAUUAGGUAGGCUUAAUAGCAGAUUAUGUGGAAUGCAGUCUAUUGAAUAUGUACAAUUGAGAGUCUCUGAAGGGGAAGAGAAAGAAGGGAUGAGAAAAUAAUAUCCAGAAAGAUUAUUGUCAAGAAUUAUCCAAAACUGAUGAAAGACAACAACACCUAUUAAUAAAUCUCAGCAUGACCCAGUUAGAAUUAUUAGAAAGAAACCAUAUCUAGAGACAUCAUAGUCAAAUUACUGAAACCCAAAGAUAAAGGAGAAAUCUUAAAAGCAUUCAGGGAAAAAAAAAUAAUGUUACCUUCAAGGAAACAAGCAAGGAUUACUGGCCUCUAACAGAUAUAAAUAAAUAGAUAGAUAGAUAGAUAGAUAGAUAGAUAGAUAAUCUACUAACAUACAGUUCUCUACCAUGCAAAAUAUUCCUUCUAAAAUGAAGAUGUAAAAAAAGACACAUUCAGGCAUCCAAUAGUCCUACACUAAAGAAAAACUAAAGAUUGUUCUUUAUGGGGAAGGAAAAUGAUCUCAACAAGGAAGAACACCAGAAGGGGCAAUUACAUGAGUAAAUAUGAAUAAAUGUUAUCUAUUUAAAUCAACACAACACUAAUCUGAUGGGUUUGAUCAUAGAAAAUGAAAUGUAAGACAGUAACAGCAAAACUAUUGAAGGUGGUAAAUGAAGUUAAACUGUUAUAAGGAUCUCAUAUCAUUUGAAAGGUUUUAAAAGUACUAAUUUAAUAUAUACCAUCAUAAAUCAUAAUUGUAUAUGUAAUCUCUGGAGUAACAACUGUAAGAAAAAUGAAGGAAUGUAUAAUUUAAAAAUUAGUAGAGAUGCUACUUCUCCAAACUUCUUACCAAAAACUCAUACCUUCAGUCUAAUCAUGGGGAAAACAUCAGACAAAUCCCAAGUGAAGUAAAUUCAACUAAAUAUCAGUACUCCUCAGAACUAUUAGUCUUGAGAACCUGUCAUAGCCAGGAGAUGUAAGGAAAUAUGAUGAUUAAAUAUAAGGUAGCAUCUUGGAUAGAAUAAUGGAACAGAAAAAGGACAUUAGAUAAAAACCAGCAAAAUUUGAAUAAGGACUUUGAUCAAUAAUAAUGUAUUGGUAUAUUAAUUGUAGCAUGUGUUCUACUAAUUUAAGAUGUUAGUAAUGAAGAAAAUAGAACAUGGAUUAUUUGAAAACUCUCUAUACUAUCUUUAUAACUUUUUGUAAAUCUAAAACCAUUCUAAAAUAAACAAAACCAACGUGGAGAAAAUAGAAUAAAAAUACUUGAUUAAUGCUUACAAAAACAGUAAGAGAAAAAUAACAAAGAUGAGAUACAUGAAAUAAAUGUAAACAUUCAGAUUGAAAGAAACUGGCAGAUGGAUUAAGAAAGAAAGAAAGAACCAACUAAUACAUUGUUUAUAAGAGACAACAUUUAAAUAUAAAAGCACAGAAAGGUUGAAAAAGAUGAAAGUAAUAUAGCAAUACAUGUACCAAUACAUGUACCAUGUAAACACUAACCAAGAGAAAGCAGGUAUUGCUCAGUUAAUUUAAAAACUUAGACUUUAAACAGGGAUUUCUAGAAAUAAAAGUACCAUUUCAUGGUAAUAAAAGGGACAAUUAAACAAGAAAAUAUAAAACCAUGAAUGCACAUGCUUCUCAAAAACAUUUUCAAAGUCCAGGACUGGAUGGAUUCUCAGCUGAGUUCUACCAGACUUUUAAAGAAGAACUAAUACCAAUCUUCCUCAAACUAUUCCACAAAAUAGAAAAGGAGGGAACUCUUCAAACACAUUCUGAGAAGCUAGUAUCACCCUGAUACCAAAACCAGAAAAAGACAUAUCAAGGAAAGAAAAUUUUAGACCAAUAUCCUUGAUGAACAUACAUGCAAAAAAUCUUAAUAAAAUACAUAUCGCAUAUAAAAACAUAUUAAAAAGAUAAGUGCACCAUGAUCAAGUGGAUUUCAUCCCAGGGAUGCAAGUUUGGUUCAACAUAUGUAAAUAAAUAAAUGUAAUUUGUCACAUAGAGUUAAAGACAACUUUAUGAUAACCUCAAUAGAUGCAGAAAAAGCAUUUGACAUAAUAUAGCAUUUAUUCAUGUUUAAAACACUAGCAAAAAUAGGGAUAGAAGGAACAUACCUCAACACUGUAAAACUAUAUAUAACAAUCCCAAGGCAAACAUCAUUCUAAAUGAAGAGAAACUGAAGAGCAUUCCCUCUAAAAACAGGAACAAGGCAGGGAUGCCCACUUUUCACCACUUUUAUUCAACAGAGUCCUUGAAACUGUAGACAGAGCAAUUAGGCAAAAGAAAGAAAGGGAUAUGAAUAGGAAAAGAAGAGUGCAAACUAUCUCUGUUUGCUGAGGAUAUGAUUCUAUAUUUAGAAGAUCAAAAAAAAGUCCACCAGAAAACUUCUAGAACUUAUAAAUGAAUUCAGCAAAGUAGCAAGUAGCAUUGCCUACUCUUUUUCCCUCUCACUUAUUUUAUUUCUUUUACUGAAGCACAGUGGAUUCCCUGGUGCUUCCUCUCUGAAACUCAUAAAUGACCAUCUGUGGUUAAUUCACUAUUCAAUUCUCUUCUGCAAUUAGAGGUUCAGUAAUAGAAAUUGUACAUACUUUUGAGUUCUUUAUCCAUGCAGCUGGAUUAAUUGAAUAAGUGGCCAGAGAUUCAGUGUGUAGACUUAGUUCUACAUCUUAUUCUGAGUACAGAACCCAAAAUGUACACUAUGGAGGAAACAAGGAGUCCUUCAUUCUUCAGGCCAGUUUACCAUAAGGCUCUCAUUUUUGGGACUGUCAGUGAUUGCCUAUAUUGAAAAGCAGUGUUUGUUUCCCAUUUGGCUAGUGAUCAAUCCACCUAAAUCUAGAUAAUAUGGAUUUCAAGGUAUAUUUUGUAGCCCCCUAAAGGGGCUUCUAUCCUGCCUCAUCAUAGUGGAUUGUGGAUUAUCCACCUGAGUUUCCCUACCUUUUCACAUGAGGAAAGCAGUGAGAGCUUUGAAGUCUGGGUACCACACUGCCCAGCUCCAGGAAACAUCAUUUUUUUCUUUAAAUCAAUAUAAUUAUAUAUAAUAGUUGCAUUCAUUUUUAACAAAAUCAUACAUGCAAGGAAUUUGAUUUAAAAACCCCAUCUCGCCCUCUUUUCCACCGCUUCUUCCCCCCACCCCAUGCUCCCUUCUCUAAGUCUUUCUUUUACUCACUCAUUUAUUUUUUUUAUGUUUCUUUGGUGCUUUCUACAUAUACAUUAAAGUGACUUUUCCUUGGUACAUUUAUAUAUGCAUAUUCCCUCCCCUCUCCCUUCUUUCCUCCCUUUCUCUUGUUCUCCUUCCAUUCCACUGAUCUUUCCUGUAUAGUUAUGAUGUCAAUCCCAGUCCCCCCCACACCAUCAGCACCACCUUCUUUCCCUUAUUUUGAUCUAGCUAAGGAAGAUCUUGGACAUAGUGACAUAUAUAAAGUAUGCUCUCUGGCAUUCUGAAGAACACAGUAGAAAUAUUCAUAUGUCUUACUAUGUGAGUUGUCCUUUGUCUUGAUAAAUAUGGCUUAUACAUAGUUUAUUAGAUUCAUCCUCAGCCUCCCCACUGGGAAAGAUUACUUUCCUGCACAAAGCUGUUUCUCAGCCUUGACACAUGUUUAUCACAAAGCACUGCAAUAAUCUCAAAUUUUAUAUAAGAAAAAAUAUCAAUUGCUGAUGGGACUGCAAAUUGGUGCAACCACUAUGUAAAGCAGUUUGGAGAUUCCUCAGAAAACUUAAAAUGGAACUACCAUUUGACCCAGCUAUCCCACUCCUCAGUUUUUACCCAAAGGACUUAUAAUCAGCAUACUUCAGUGAUGCAGCCACUUCAAUGUUUAUAGCCACCCAAUUCACAAUAGCUAAACUAUGGAACCAACCUAGGUGUCCUUCAGUAGAUGAAUGGAUAAAGAAAAUAUGAUAUAUAUUCAAUGGAAUAUUACUCAGCUUUAAAUAAGAAUGAAAUUAUGACAUUUGCCUGUAAAUGGAUGGAGUUGGAGAAUAUCAUGCUAAGCAAAAUAAGCCAAUCCCAAAAAACCAAAGGCCAAAUGUUUUCUCUCAUAUGCAGAUGCUAAUUCACAAUAAGGCAGGGGCUACUAGAGAAGAAUAGUGUUACCUUAGAUUAGGUAGCGGGAAGUGAAGGGAGGGAAGGAGAGGAGAUGUGGGGAUAGGAAUGAUAGUAGAACGAAACAGACAUUUUUACUUAAGUAUAUAUGUAACUGCAUGACCAAUAUGAUUCUACAACAGGUACACUCAGAAAAAUGAGAAAUUAUAUCCCAUCUAUGUAUGAUAUAUUCCCUCUAAAAUCUGGAAAAAGACAGGGAUUCCCUCUCUCACCACUUCUAUUCAAUAUAGUUCUUGAAAUACUGGCCAGAGCAUUUAGACAGACAAAAGAAAUUAAAGGCAUUAAGAUAGGAAAAGAAGAACUUAAAUUAUCACUGUUUGUGGAUGAUAUGAUCUUAUACCUACAAGACCCAAAAGGGUCUACAAAGAAACUACUAGAGCUAAUAAAUGAAUUCAGCAAAGUGGCAGGAUAUAAAAUCAACAUGCAUAAAUCAAAGGCAUUCCUGUAUAUCAGUGACAAAUAUUCUGAAAUGGAAAUGAGGAAAACCACCCCAUUCACAAUAUCCUCAAAAAAAAGUAAAAUACUUGGGAAUCAACCUAACAAAAGAGGUGAAAGAUUUAUACAAUAAAAACUACAGAACCCUAAAGAGAGAAAUAGAAGAAGAUCUUAGAAGAUGGAAAAAUAUACCCUGUUCAUGGAUAGGCAGAACUAACAUCAUCAAAAUGGCGAUAUUACCAAAAGUUCUCUAUAGGUUCAAUGCAAUGCCAAUCAAAAUCCCAACGGCAUUUCUUAUAGAAAUAGAUAAUAGCAAAAGCAAUUCUAAGCAGGAAGUGUGAAUCNGAAAAGGGUACACUUGUACAUUGCUGGUGGGACUGCAAAUUGAUGUGGCCAAUUUGGAAAACAGUAUGGAGAUUCCUGGGAAAGCUGGGAAUGGAACCACCAUUUGACCCAGCUAUUGCCCUUCUCGGACUAUUCCCUGAAGACCUUAAAAGAGCGUACUAUAGGGAUACUGCUACAUCGAUGUUCAUAGCAGCACAAUUCACAAUAGCUAGACUGUGGAACCAACCUAGAUGCCCUUCAAUAGAUGAAUGGAUAAAAAAAAAUGUGGCAUUUAUACACAAUGGAGUAUUACUCAGCACUAAAAAAUGACAAAAUCAUGGCAUUUGCAGGGAAAUGGAUGGCAUUAGAGCAGAUUAUGCUAAGUGAAGCUAGCCAAUCCCUAAAAAACAAAUGCCAAAUGUCUUCUUUGAUAUAAGGAGAGCAACUAAGAACAGAGCAGGGAGGAAGAGCAUGAAAAAAGAUUAACAUUAAACAGGGACGAGAGGUGGGAGGGAAAGGGAGAGAGAAGGGAAAUUGCAUGGAAAUGGAAGAAGACCCUCAUUGUUAUACAAAAUUACAUAUAAGAGGAUGUGAGGGGGAAAGGGGGAAAAAACAAAACAAGGGAGAGAAAUGAAGUACAGUAGAUGGGGUAGAGAGAGAAAAUGGGAGGGGAAGGGAGGGAGGAUAGUAGAGGAUAGGAAAGGUAGCAGAAUACAACAGUCACUAGUAUGGCAAUAUGUAAAAAUGUGGAUGUGUAACCGAUGUGAUUCUGCAAUCUGUAUACGGGGUAAAAAUGGGAGUUCAUAACCCACUUGAAUCAAAUGUAUGAAAUAGGAUAUGUCAAGAGCUUUGUAAUGUUUUGAACAACCAAUAAUAAAACAAGAACAAUAAAAUAAAUCGCAAAAAAGUACAUAAAUGCAUUAUACUGCCAUGUAUAACUAAUUAAAACAAAUUUAAAAAUAAAAUAAGCAAUAGGGAGAUACACAUUAAAUAAAAUGAAUUUAAAAUAAGUUUUUUAAUAGAUUGAAGCAAUGUAGUCUACAGUUUCUUCUAAGAAAUUUUUUAGUGAUUUUUUUUCUUUAGCAUUCAGAUAUAAAUGCUUGGAAAACUUAGAUUUCUCUUUCACAGUAAGGACACUUCCUACCAAUAAUAUUCAUAACACCUGGCAUAACACAUGCAAAAAGGAAUACAUUAUAAACAAUUUGUUUUUCUGCAUAUAUGUUGAAGAUUGCUGGGCUGGGUUUGUAACUCAGUGGGAGUUACCUAGCAUGUGUGAGGCACUGGGUUUGAUCCUCAGCAGCACAUAAAAAUAAAUAAAUAAAAUAAAGUUAUUGCGUCUAUCUACAACUAAAUUUUUUUUAAGAUUUUUAUAUUGCUCAUGUUACUAGCCUAAAGUUCAUUAUGGAUCAUAGGCCAUUCUAAAUAUGUAUAUAUUUUAUAAAUUUGUUUUAGAACCCCAAAUCCUGAAGUCAUGGAAGGAAUUUUUGUUCUAUUUUUUUUGCUAAAGGUAUGGUUAUAUUUGCACAUGUUUUUCAAAAUUAUAUUUAAUAAUCAACUUCUAGGAUAUUGACAGUUUGCCAUUGUUUAUUCCAUAGAGGAACUAAAAUGUAAGCUACUCAGACUCAUUUCAAUCAUUCAAGUGAAUAUUUAGCUUGAUGGUACUAAUAAAGAAGUGAAGAAAUUCCAGGAGAGAUAACCACCAGCAGUCAUAAUCUUAAUCCAAAACCUCAGGAAUGGGGCUGUCCAAAAAUAGAACAACUACAAAAUAAGACCACUGUUGUGAAACAACUUUACAUCUCAUCUUGGAAAAUUCCAAAGUCUCAGUUAACUUUGACAAAUGAAAAAGACAAUAUUUAAAUAAAUACUUAUUUAAAUAAAUUUAAUAAUAAAUAUUUAAUAAGGACAUACAUAAAUAUUUGUAUAUUUGUUUAUCACAGGAGGGAACAAAAGAGCUAAGCUUUAGUUUUCUUUUAUUUUUUGAAGGAAAAUAAUUCUCAGUAUUAGCUUCUAUUCUUUCACAGUUGUGACUUUAAAUGCAUCCCAAUGUCUUGGGAAUAUCCCAGACAAAUUAAUUUGGAAUCUCUGGAGAUUGGUCUCAAACGUCAAUAUUAUUUAAAACUCCUCAGAUAAUUUCAGUGUGCAGCCAAAUUACCAAGAUUAAUAGACACUGUUCUCAAAGCUGAUUAGAAUUGUGGACAUAAAGCAAAAAAGAAUGGUGCACUCAGAAUGGAAAGAUACUUUUGAUUAUUUUCUGACUUCUAGGCAGUGAUAUAACUGAAGUAUUAUGAAAAAAUGAAAUUUAUCUGAGGGAUUACAAUGCUAUAAAUAAAAGAGAUGAACAGUUGCCGCAGUCCGGCUGGCAAAAUAACCAGGAGGUGACAAGCAACUUGAAGGUUGAAGCGGGAACUGCUUUAUUGCGGGGGAAACUCAGCGGGAACUGAGCGGGAACUCAAGGUAGCGGGCACCCAAGGUAGCGGAAGCCGCCUUAUUGCGGAACAGCGGAGGUAUAUAUACCUAACUGAUUACACACAGCUUGACUCAUUAGCAUCAUCUAGAUACAGCAGUCAGCCAAUAAGGAAUCCCCAUCAUCUUAAUCGCUCCGUGGCAUUGCCUCACAAACCACUCCUCCUGGCAAACUGCCAGGCGCCAUCUUGACUUGAUUUGUGGUUCCCAACAAAUAGUUGUUUGUUUUAUACAGAAACAAAGUUAACUCUGGCAUAAUACACUGACAGUUAAUAGUGCAUGACAAGUGUCCACUUGUUUUAGUCAGGGAAUACAAAUUUAAUUGAAACUGCAGUGCAAACUGAAGAAAUCUGCAAGUGAUUGCACAAAUUAGAGUUUAGUCAAUAUGCUAAAAGCAACACUGUUCUGGGGAAAAUGCCAUGGGAUUUGAAAGACCACAAUUGUCCACAGUGUUUCAAUAUCUAAGACAUUAUAUUUUCUUGUAUUUAUAUCCAUAAAUACAUUUUAAAAUCCGAAAAGAAAGAAAGAACAAACGAAGAAGAAAGUGGCUAAAAAUUUGAUAUCAAGGUAUUCCAGGAAGAGGAAAAGAAGUUCCAAAAUGAAAAGCAGCAAUAUCUGAAGAAGAGAAGAGGGAUAGUCCCAACAUCUUUCCUUUUGGAAACUUUGGGAACAUGAGAAAUAUGUUAAUGAUUUCAAGAUAAGCUUGAAAGUUUCCAUCCUUUUCUGCCAGUUAACGGAGCUACUCCAUGAUUUACCCUAGCACAGUUAUAGUUUCAUCUUUCAUUUUUAUACACAUGAUGUAGGACUUUAUAUGGUUUAACACAAAGGAAUAUAAAAUAAGAUGUAUAACCAUAUAUUUCAACAGCUAUUACAGUAUUAGCCCAUUAAAAUUAAUAGGGUAACAUGAAAACUUUUUAGUUUGUGUAGAUUCAUAAUUUGCUACUGAAACUUGCAAAUAGCCAGUUUAACACUUGGAGUCUUUACCUUCACUAAUAUAAAGCUUGUAUUAUAAUUAACCAAAGCAGCUUAAGAUUUUAUUAACUCAAACCAAGUGUUGGUUUCAAAAAAAAAACUUCAUAACUAUGCUGGAAAUUAAGUGAUUUUUAUUAGUAAAAUAUUACUAUAUAUACAUGUUUUAACUUUUCUAAAAUUAUAUUGUAACAAUUAAAGGUUUUGUUAAUAAAUAUUAUUUUUUCAAAAAGACCAUCAUUUUGCUAGUAUAAUUGAAAUAUUACUAAUAAUAAUAAUACAUUAUCAAUUAAGAUACAUAUAAUACUGAAUUUCUCAUGUGCUGCUUUAUAGGUAGAUUGAAUAUAAUGAGGCAAGAUUAUAUAUAAAUUUUAUAUUUUGUAUUAUAAUCUGAAAAUAUUUGGUUUCUGUCCCAUUUUUUCCUUCAAUCCUACAUCUAAAUAUCCUUUUAUCCUAACAUAGCAAAGAGAGAACAUUAAUAUAUACCAUAGGGGCUAGUUUUCUUUUGUUCCUUCUUUCUAGUCUGAGAAAAAGGCCAUUGGAUAAUUUCUCAAAAUAUUCCAGAGAGAAUUUAAAUGACUUGAAACUCUAAAUUCACCCUGAAAUAGGCAUAAUACUUUUGUUAUUUUAUUCUAAAUUCUUUUUUUAUGGUAUAUCCUAAGAGUUUUCAUAUGGGGGGUCUAAUAGGUUAAUAAGUCACUUUUUAAAUUUAUAUAAAAUCUGGUAGCUAUCUAAUGAUGUUUUCAAGCUGAAUUUAGUAAUAUGACUUCCUGUUAGUAGGCACUGACUGUUAAGAACACCAGUAGAAUUCUGAAAGAUGAGACAUAGCUGAAGCAAAAAUACUUUUUUUAACCUUUAAAAAGGAGAAUAAUCUCUCAAGGAGAUAAAAAAUAUAUAUAUUUCCUAAAUUUAAUUGUCAUUAAAUUAAUGGAGUCUGACUUUUCUAAACAGCAUUUCCUAUUAGCAUGAUAUCCAAAAUACUUAACAACUAGUAACAUAAAAUCUCUAAAUAAAUAAAAAAUUCUAAUUCUCUGAACAACUAUUUAAAAAACUAAUUUCUAAGUGAUGACAAUUUAUAGAAUGAAUUACUUACCAAAUCAUUGUAAUAAUAUUAUGUAAAUAAUUUUUGCUUAACAUGGAUAUUACUAUUCAAAUGAUGCUUUGCCUGAGCUAUAAGAUAAACUUCCAAAUAAUAUUUAAUUAUUAGUUUAACAGUGCAUGGAUCAUUUUCUUAACUCCUCAGUUUUAAAAAUACAUUGAAAACUUACCCCUAUAGUGUUUCUAAAAGGGUAUUUAUUGGUCAUUUUUAACCCAAUGCUGCUGAACAUUAGCAUGUCUGACCAGAAGCAAAUCCUCCAAUUUAUUGUAACAAAUACACUUCCGUAUGUUUCCAAAUGUCUGCAUAUCAUCACUGGAGAAAAACUGAGGUGACAAUGAGGUUAAAACAUUAAUAGGAAUGCUAACUUUUAAUGUGAAAGGAUUUUAAAAUGAGAUAUUUAUAUAUCCACACAAAAUAGAUAAAAUGAUUUUGAUAAAUUUGAAAUAUUUUUGUAUAAAGUGUCAGGCUACUGAGAGAAAAAUUUUAAAUUGUCUUAUACACUUGAAAUAUCUGAAAUUUAUAUUACUGUAAUAGAUAAAUAAAUAGCAAGUGGCUUAGCUCCAUCACUUAACUUAUAUGUGACCCAUGACAUUCCAUCUAAACUCCUUGCCUAGGGAUUCUUGUUUUUUUAAUCUAUAAAAUAGGAAAGAUAUCUAUCCUGAAUGACUUACUGAUAAUUAGAAAGAUUCAGUACACUUUUUUCUCUGUUUUAUAACAUAUAAAUGAGGGUCUUUUGCAUAAUUUCCUGAUAAGAGAGACUUGUAAUAUUUUACAAAUUAAAUUUAACAGCUAAAAUCAUGAGGCUAAGGUUACUGUUAAAAUUUUACCGAUGAAUUAAAAUAUUAUUAUAUAGUUAUUUUGUUAAAAAGAUCUUUAAUUCUGAGUCUAAAAUUAUUGUAUUAAAAUCUAAUUCCUAGCCGGGCAUGGUGGCGCGUGCCUGUAAGCCAAGCUGCUCCAGAGGUUGAGACAGGAGGAUGGCAAGGUCAAAGCCAGUCUCAGCAAGGGCAUGGUGCUAAGCAACUUAGUGAGACCCUGUCUCUAAAUAAGAUAUAAAAUAGGGCUGGAGAUGUGGCUCAGUGUUCGAGUGCCCCUAAGUUCAAUUCCUGGUACCAAUAAAAAAAAAUCUAAUUCCUUAUUAGAAUAAGAUGUACUCAUGUUUGUAUAAAUAUGUCAAUAUAUACACUACUAUCAUGUGUAACAUGACAAGAACAAAUUUUUAAAAUCUUACAAUAUAAAAUACGAUUCAAUUCAACAUAGAUUUUAAAAUAUUAAAGUAAAACAAAUUGACAAAUAUUAGGGAUUAUAUUUAUCCAAAUAUUAGAAAGCAAACACUCAAAAGUAAUCUCACUAAAUGAUUUCACAAUUGCUGUUUAAUUACCUUUUAAUAGAAAAAUGACCUUCUGGUGUUGCUCUGACAGCAACAGAAAUAAAUAAAAGCAAAUUAUGCUUAGCCUAAUUCAUAUCUCUGAGGUCAAAUAGAAAUAGAAUAAUAUAAGUCAGAAUCCAUGUGUAGAAAUGUAAAUAUAAUACUAUUUUAUAUAACUUAAAUGAAAGUAUUAUAAUACCCCAAAACUAAGGAAAAAUUAAAAUAGGUAAAUCCACAUUUAUUUUUGGUACUUAAAGUAAUAAAAAUCAAAAAAGCAUGGCAAUACCACAAAACUAGUCAUUAUAUAUUUUAAAAGACUGAUACCAUACAAAGUAUCAACUGACCAAGACAGGAGGAGUCUAGAAGUCUAUAUAGAAGGAAAAUUGAGAAAUACACAAAUAUGUGGAAAUUACACAACACAUUCUUCAACAACCAGGUAAGUCAAAGAAGAAUAAACAGGGAAAAUUGGAAAAUACCUAGAGCUGAAUGAAAAUAAAAAUAUACCAAGCAUUUAUUAAAAACAUAUAAUCAUAUAUUAUACAUAUAAUCAUAUAAUAUUAUAUAUUAUAAUAUAUAAUAUCAAACUAAGUGGUAAAAAAGUCCAACAUAAAAACAAGGAAAGGUUGCCUGCUUUCACCACUAUUGUACAAUGUACUGGAAGUUCUAGCCUAAACAAUUAGGGAAGAAAAAUAAAUGGAAUCCAAACUGGAAAAUUAAAAAAAAAAAUCAUCUCUUAAAAACUAAUAGAGCUAAUAAAUUUGGCAACACUUCAGGUUACAAGAUCAUCACACACAAAAAAUCAUUUCUGUACACCAGUGAAAAACAAUCCCAAAAGAUUAUUAAAAAUGAAAUUCCUUUUACAUUUACAUCUAAAAGAAUAAAACACCUAGGAUUUUUUAUUUGGGGGGGGUUGUUUGCUUGAUUGGUUCAUUGAUUUUUGUUUUGUUUGGGGGUUUUGUUUUUGUUUUGAUUGGACCCCAAAUUUUUACCAAGGAAUAAUUUUAACCAGAGAUAUAACAGAUUUACACACUGAAAACUAAAACACAUUGUUGAAAUUAAAGACACUCCAAAUAAUGGAAAGAUAUCCCAUGUUGAUAGAUUAUAAUUGUAAUGCAAAAAAAAGUACACGUAUAAAGACAUGAAUUGGCGUGAACAUACUUUAUAUACAAAGAUAUGAAAAAUUAUGCUCUAUAUGUGUAAUAAGAAUUGUAAUGCAUACCUCUGUUGUGUAUUUAAAAAAUAAAAUCAAUUAAAGAAAGGAUAUCAAUAUUACCCAAAGCUAGUCACAGAUUCAGUGCAUUCCCUAUCAAAAUUUCAACAUCUUCAUUUGAACAAAUGGAAAGCCUGAUUCUCAAAUUCAUAUACAAUUUCAAAGAACCCUGAAUAACAAUAGCAACAACAAAAAAAACUCUUUAAAAAAGUAUAGUGUUCACUAUUUUAAAACAUACAACAAGCGACAGUAAUCAAAACAGCAUGAUACUAGUGUAAGGACAGAUACAUAUACCAAUGGAAUAGAACAUCAAGACAUAAACCAUAUGUCUAUGACCAACUGAUUUUUGGCAGUAUGCUAAUUAAGUUCAUUCAAUGGGGAAAGAAUAGCCUCAUCAACAAAUAAUUCUAGGACAAUUGGGCUUACAUAUGGAAAAGAAUAAAUUUAAUUCUCUACAGCAUAUUAUAAAAAAUUAAUUAUAUGUGGUAUAUAUGUAUUGAAAUAUCACACAGUAUCCAAUAAAUUUGUAUAUCAUAUGUUCAUUAAAAGCAUAUGUAUUAUUAAAUAUAACUAAAUGGAAAAUUAACUCUAAAUAGACCAAUAACCUAAAUAUAAGAACUAAAACCCAUGCAAGUCUUCAAAUAAAAUGUAACAGUUAAUCUUUAUGACAGGUAAUGACACCAAAAUUACAGGUAACAAAAGAAAAUAAUAAGGUCAACUUCAUCAAACUUUAAAAUUUUGAGCAAAACACAUUUACUAAGAAAAUAAUAAAGGUAACAUGACAACUACAGAGAGGGAGAAAUUAUUUGCAAAUGACGUACCUGAUGAAAAGUCAAUACCCAGAAUAUAAAGAAAUCCUGCAACUAAAUAGUGAGAAGGAAAGCAAAUCAAUUUUUUAAAUGGGUCAAGUACUUGAAUAAACAUUUCUCCAAAGAAAAUAAACAAAUGGCCAAGAAACAUAAUAUGAAAAGAUACUCAACAUCAUUUAUCAGCAGGAAAAUGGAAACCAACACAAUAAGAAGGUUCAAAUAUGUUAAGAUAGUAAUAAUAAUAGGAAAAUAAGUGUUGGCAAGAAAAUGAAACCCUUCACCUUGCUGGUAGAAAUGUAAAAUGGCAUAACUCACUGUGAAAACAGGAGGGUCCUCAAAAAAAUUAAAUAUAGAAUUACUGCAUGACUAUGCAGUUCUACCCCUAAAUACAUAUGCAAAGAAUUGAAAAAUGAACUCAUACAGAUGCUUAUAUGUUGAUGUUCAUUGCUGCAUUAUUCACAAUAGCCAAAUGGGAGAAACAUCCCAAGUUUCUAGUAGCUUCCAAGUCUCUAUUAGUUGUUGAAUGGAUAAACAAAAUGUGAUAGAUAGAUAAAUUGAUUAAAAAGCAACAAAAUGCAUAAAAACAGAUGCAGUUAUGCAAUAUGGACAAGUCUUGAAAACAUUAUAUAAGAGAAAUAAGCCAGACACAGUGUUCUAUGAUUCCAUUUAACAUGAGGGGAUGUAGAACAGGCAAAUUCAUAGAGACAGAAAGAUUAGAAAUUACCAGGGUUUCAGGAAAGGGGGAAACAGGGAAUUAUUGCUUAAUGGCUAUUGUUACUCUUUUGGGAAAUUUUGGAAAUAUACAAUAAUGAUGGCUGUGCACUCUUGUGAAUGUAAUUAAUACAACUAAUUGGAUUAUAUGCUUACAUGAUUAAAAUGUCAAGCUUCUAUAUAUAUUUUGCCCAACAAAAGUAUUUUUUUAAAAAAAAACAUUGUAUUUCUCACCUGAUUAUAGAAUCAAAACAUUUUUAAACUUGAUAAUUUAGCCUCACACUUUAUAAACUAUAUUGAAAUUUAAGUGGGUAUUCUAGAGUUAAAAGUAAUCUGUUAUAAAUCUUAAAUUUUUCAGUAUGAAAGGUUAAUUUUUACAGGGUUAAUACAUUUGAUUCUGGGGGCCUAAAGACAUAGAAGAUGAAGUUGACAUUUAAAAUCUAUUUGCUAACUUUUCAACUAUAUUAACACAGCAACUCUAUACCUAUUUGUGUCUAUAAAUAUAUCACUCCACCCCUGCUAAGACCUACUUAUGUCAAUCAAGUUUUGACACAACAAAAUUCUUAUGUAAUAUGAAUAAUACAGAAGAGUAAAAUACUGUGCUUUUAAAACUUUUGUCUGUCCCAGCACACAUGAAUAAGAGGCUAUGUCUCCUUUUUAAUACUGAUUUUAGGGCUCUCAGAAUUAAGCUGUAAAGGAUAUUUUUUACAGAAUUACAAAAUAUCUUUCCCAUUUAUGAAUCAUAAUAUUCCAUUUCUGAUAAAAAUACAUUGCAAAGGCUUGAUUUGGGAUAUGCCAGUUACUACUUAUAUUAUCUUAAAGUCCAUGCUUAUAUGCAGGCAUUAUCCAUCCACCCAACAAAUACAUUGAGUAUUCACUGAAAGCACAGGGCAAGCUGCAGAAGUAGCAAAAAAUUAGUGAAAUAACUUGUUAAUAGUCUGUCUCUGAGAAUAGAUUCAAAAUAAGAAAUCCCACUUGGUGGUCUUUAGUAAAGAUAAAUUUGUUCCAUAUGCAUAGAAAAAACAUCAUAGCCUCCCCCCCCCCCUAAAAUAUGAGAGAAAUCCUUCUGAGACAAAAUUCUUUUUAUAAAAUAAAAUUUAAGAUGAAACAGAAGUAACUUUUUGGUUCUGAAAUGCUCGUAAUUUUUUUAUGUUCUUUCUAAACCUGAUAGCAACUUAAGAGAUUUUCUUCACAGAUUUUUCUUGCUCUUUGAUUUCACUACAAUUAAUUUUUCCAGAGGGUUUUUUUUUUCAGUCAUGUGAGAAACCAAGCAGAUUCAACUUCCUUUUUUGUCACCCUUUACUUGAGUUGAUUUAUAAGUUACUUUAUUAUUUUCAGCCAGAAUUUAUAGUAACAUUGAAAUAAUUUUACCUGAACCAAUAGAUGCUCUGCUCCAUAUCAUUCUAAACUUUUGGGAUGCAAAGAGCACCCUUUUUCCAGUACAUUUCUGGUUGUUGUGGUAGAAGAAGGACCCCUGCAGCAUCUUAAACCGAUAAAUGUUUCUACACAUUAAUGACACGAAUUAUUCAUUAGACAGUAAUUUUCAUUGGUCAUGCCUAAUUUCCAAGUAGAAGGGAAGUACAAGUAAACCACAUACUUAGACUAGAAUAUUUGUGAAGAGCCUUCAGUAUAUCAAACCUAUGAAAUUUUUUAGUUCAAUUCAUUUGGAAAAAUGGAUAUACUGAAUAAUAUUGUAUAAAAUUUACCAAAAAUGACUCAAGAACUAGAAUACAUGAGUAAACCUCAACAACUCUUAAAGAUAUCAACUGGUAUUAAAAUCUGCCUCUAUGCCUGAAAAGACUAUAUAAUAUAGGCCCAAAUGGUUUUACAGGACUAGGGAUUAGUUCAGAGGUAAAGCAUUUGUCUAGCAUUUGUGAGGCUCUGGGUUUAAUCCCCAGUACCAAAAACAAACAAACAAAAAAUAGUUUUUCAGGUUAAAUUUUCCAAACCUCCUAUGAUUCUAUUUUUAUGCAAACUAUUUCAGAAACUAUAGAUAUCAUAAGGUUACCAAUAUCAAAAACUGCUAAAUGUCAGAAAUUUUAUCCCAUUUGGAAGUAAUUCAGGCAGUUUCAUGUGUACUGGCAGAAAACACAAGACUCAUGAGUCAGAGACAAAAUGCAUUUUCAUCACUCACAGCAUUAGCCAAACUGGCAGCAUUUGUAAUAGGUAGAACUCCAUUUCCCACAGGGUAUCAAAAAUAGGACUAGAUUAUAUCUAUACAUGAUGUGGUGAGUUACAUCAGAGAACUCUGAGCUUACAAAACUCAAAUCUUUUAUGACAGGCAUUAAAUGUACUAUGUUCCAAAACAAUGCACAAACCUGCCCUGUGUUACAAAGGGAGAUCAUUUAUUUUCUGUUUGCUAUAUAAAUACUUUUGAAAAGACAGUCUAGGACAAAGGCAGUUAGUACCUGCUUGUAAGAUGUAUGGAGACACACACACACAUCCAUGGGGAAUUGUUACCUAACAUGUUUUAUGAAUCCAAUAAAAAAUAUUAUAGGCUAAUCUUCCUUUUAUACAUGCAUAAAACCCCGUGUAGAAUAUAACAGGCUGAGUCUAUCAAUGUAUAGAUGUCAAUGUGUCCAUAUAGACUUUGUCUAGGAAUGAAGGAAUGAUGAAACAUGGGAAAAUAUCAUUUUAAUAGACUUUUUAAAAAAUUAUCCAACAUCAGAAAAAUCUAGUUGAAUUCAUCACAUUAACAGAUUAAAGAAAGAAACAUAUGAACGAACAUCUUGAUAGAUAGAAAUUAUUUUGACUUUGAUAAUGAGUAUGUAGCAUAUUGGCAUUAGAAUCUAAACCUUUACAUUCCUUGAAAAGUAUAAUUUUCACUACAAUAUGUUUUUCCCACUAGAAUAUAUGUCAUAAAAAAUAAGACAGGGCAAAAAAUAAAUUAAGAAUGAGGUAUGUAUCUUUACUUUAAAAUAGAAUAGUUUAAACAGACUAAAAAUAUUAGGUGCUUUUUAAACCUGGUCUUAAAACAGAGAAAUUAUCAGCUUAUGACAAAUAGGAGGUUAUAUGAAGUCUAGAGAAGUGAAUUCCUUGUACAGAAACUUCUCACUUCACUGACUCUAGUAUACAUAUUUUUCUGGGAUAACAUGUUUGUAGAUAUUAAAAUACAUAUAAUGACUCUUGUUAUAAUAGUAUUAGGUAUACUGUCUCCUAGACCAUGAUUUUAAGUGGGGGUAAAAAUUUGUUCUUGGGAGACCAGAAAACAAACAAACAAAAAACAGACCAAAAAACAACCUUAGAUAUAACAGUCGUUUGUGGCCCCCAGAAACUCAAGCCUACCAAGCAAAAUCCUUUCUCUACUAUUUAUUUCUUUUAUUGAAAACAAAUUAAGUUUAUAUUAAAUUUAAUUUAAAUUUAUUAUUUACUUAAAAUAAUUUAAAAUAAAUUAAAUCUAACUUAAUUUAUCUCCGUAACCACUGAAACACAUACACAACCUUUUUAUUUUUUCUUUGAGUAAGUUGCUUAGGGACUCCCUAAGUUGCUGAAGCUGGCCUCAAACUUGUGAUCCACCUGCCUCCACCUCCUGAGUCACUGGGGUUACUAUCAUACAUCAACACACCUGGCUAGAUUGAGGCUCUUUAAGAAAAAUACCAGGUCUAAAAAUAUCUUUAAGUCUUCAUUCACUGAAAUAUUUAAUAAAUUCUAUAGUUUCAAUAUAUGAUAUUCUGAUAUCUAUAUUUAAAGUUAACAACUUAGAAAAAUCAACUCAAGUUUGAAAGAAACAAAAGAUACCCAUAGUAUGAAAAGCAAAUAUCAGCUAUAAAAGGUAGCUUUCUUCUUAUAAUAAAACUACAGGUAACAAUAGUAAUUAUAGUAAAAUAAUGAAAAUGUAACAUUAUUAAACAUUUAAUGUAGAUCAGACGUACUUGACAUGUAUUAAUUCAUUUCAUCCUCAUAACAGCCCAAUGAAUUCAAUAUUUUCAUUAUCAUUUUAUAGUGGAACCUGUAUUUAAUCACUGGGGUUGGUACUCUGACCAUUUUUCUAAUGCUAUAAUUGAUCUGAUUCCUACCAAAUAACAGUAUUUAUGAUGUGUUUUUCAUUUAGUCUGACUUUGAAAUGAAAUUACUAACAUUCCAAGGAAUUUAUAGCUUUUCAAAUCCUAAAACACAUUAUAAAUACCUAUUCACUCCAUCCUCACCUAAAAAAAAUUUAAAGAAAUUAAUUAGCCAAUGAUCAUUAUCCACUUUACCUAUAAAAAACCUUUUUGGGGGCUGGGGCUCUGGCCCAGGAGAGAACUCUUGGCUGGCAUGCAGGAGGCCCUGGUUUCUAUCCCCCAUAACUGCUGCACCACCCUCCCAACAAAAAUAAAAAUAAAAACCUGUUGACUAAACCAGAAAGAGACAACAUGUGAUGCCAAGACUUCUGGCAUCACAUCUGGAAAUUUUCUAAUCAGUGUCAUCUUCUGUCCCUCCUCUACCAGGAAAGGAAAUUAGCCCUACAAGGACACUUUUACAGUGGAAGUAGUUAUGCCAGGAUGAGAAUAAUGGAGCUGCCCUGGGGAAACCAGCAUGUAUGGUCAUCCUAUUUAUAAUGCUUCAUCUUUUGUACCUUAUCUACUCACAGCUCUACUGCUUUCUGUAACUAUACAAAUCAUAUUAUUACUCCUAUGAUCAAAACAGCUGAAAUUUUGAAUCUGAAGAUGCUAAAGCCUAUACAUAAUACCUAUGCACAGACAAAAAUCAUAUUUUUAUAAUAAUUUCCAAUAACAAUGUGACUUUAUCUCUAGUCUGUAUUAAUGAAGAAGCUUUUAAAAAGUAUAUAAACUACUUUGAGAAUAUUUGUGUUGACACCUUAGAGAAACAUUUAAAUAUGAGAAAAACUCUCUAUAUAUGUCCUUUCCCCUUUCCUCUUCAAAUAUUGACUGUAGUUAUGAAAACAGUAGUUUGGUAGAAAUUCUGUUAGGAUUGAAAUUCCCUUAUCUAGUGCUCUCCCAAAUAGAAUGUCCAAGGUUAGGUGCAAAUCAUUUCAUUGAAAUGUGGAAAUAUAACAUUAAAAUUUUUGUGUAUAUAAAUAGAAAAAUAUAAGUUUCUGUAAUAUUUGCUGAAGCCUGACACUAACAUUCUUACACGUCACCAUUGUAUGUAAUGUUAGCUGAGGAGAAACUGGAAAUUAAACAACACAGAAGGACUGACUUCACUAGUUUGCUUAUUUUCCACAUGUUGCAAUACAUUGAACUUCAUAAAUGCCAAGUUAACUGGAUUAUAUUAUCUAGUUAUAGCUAUACUACCAGCACAACAGGAUUUAGGCAGAAUCAUGUAAAGAAAUCAGUUUAAAGAUAAUACUAAUAAUGUCAGCCAACAAAAGUAAAAAACAAAAAUGGUAAUUUGGCUCUUUGUAAACUAUAAAUAUUAAUAAUUAAAAAUUAAAUCAGUGCAGAUAAAGCCUUUGACAAAACUCAGCACCCAUUCAUGAUUAAAAAAAAAAACUAUUGAAGAAACUAGGGAUAGAAGGAAAGUACCUCAAUAUCAUAAAGGCUAUAUGCAAAAAAAAAAAAAAAAACAAAGCCAACCUUAUAGUAGAUGGGGAAAAACUGAAAGAAUUUCUUUCAAAACCUGUAACAUGACAAGGAAAUCCACUCUCACCACUCCCCUUUAACAUGGUAUAGAAAUUCUAGCCAGAGCAAUUAGGCAAAAGGGAUUAAAAAUAGGAAAGAAAAAGGUCAAAUUAUCAUUGUUUACAAAUGAUAUGAUUCUAUACUUAUAGAUCAAAAAAUGCAACUAAAAGACUAGUGGAGCUAAUAAACAAAUCUAGCUAAGUAGCAGUUACAAAAUCAACCUAUAAAAUUCAGUAACUUCCCCAUACACUACAAAUGAAUCUUCUGAGAAGAAAUCAAGCAAACAGUCCCAUAUACAAUAUUCUCCAAAAAAUCUUUUUAAAACCUAGGAAUUAAAUCAAGGCAGUGAAAAACCCCUACAAUGAGAAUGAUAGAAAUUGAAGACGACACAAAAAAAAUGGAAAGACCUCCCAUGGUUGUGGAUAGGCAGAAUUAAUAUUGUUAAAAUGGCCAUACUACCAAAAGCAAUAUACAGAUUCAAUGAAAGCCCCAUCAAAAUAUCAAUGACAUUCUUCACAGAACUAGAAAAAUAAGUCUUAAAAUUCACUUGGAAGAAGAAAAUACCCAGAAUAGUCAAAGCAUUUCUAAUUCAAAAAAAAAAAAAAAAGGCAGCACAAUACCUGACUUCAAAUUAUACUAGAACUUAGUAACAAAAACUGCUUGGUACUAGCAUAAAGAGGGACACAGACUAGUGGUAAAGAAUAGAAGACACAGAAACAAACCCACACAGAUACAGUCAUCUGAUCCUUGAUAAAGGUGUCAAGAACAUACAUGGAAGAAAAGACAACUUUUUUAACAAAUGGUACUAAUUAUCUAUACCUAGAAGAAUGAAACUAGAUCCCUAUCUCUGACCUUGCACCGAAGUCAAUUCAAAGUCCUCAGAAUUAGACCAGAAAGUUGGCGAUUCACAGAGAAAAUGUAGGAUCAACACUCCAGCAUCUAGACACAGGCAACAACUUUCUCAGUAGGACUCCUAAAACUCAAGAAAUAAUGCCAAGAGUUAAUAAUUAGGAUGGCACCAAACUUAAAAGCUCUUCACAGUAAACAAGAAUGUGAAGAGAAAAACUAGAGAAUUCGAGAAAACUCUUUCCUAGCUCCUCUUUAAACAGAGGAUUAAUAUCUGGAAUAUAAAAGAAUUCCAGAAACUUAACACCAAAAAAAUAGAAAUGACCAACAAAUAUAUGAAAAAAUGUUUCCCCAGAAAGCGGGGAAAUACAAAUCAAGACUACGCUGAGAUUUCAUCUGCACUCCAGUCAAAAUGCCAGCAGUCAAGAAUAAAAAUAGUAAAUGCUAGAGAAGAUAUGAGAAAAAAAGGAACAACUUUAUACUCUUGGUGGAAUUGUAAAUUAGUACAACCACUAUGGAAAUCAGUGUGGAGCUUCCUUAGAAGACUAGAAAUGGAACCACCAUAUGAACCACCACCAUCUAUAUCACUCCUUGGUAUUUAUCCUAAAGAAUUAAAGUCAUCAUAAUAUAGUGAUACAUGCAUACCCAUGUUUAUAUCAGCACUAUUCAUAGUAACCAAACUAUGGAUGGAAUCAGCCUAGUGUCUAUCAAAGACUGAACAGAUAAAGAAAAUGUGGUUUAUAAACGAAAUGGAGUUUUAUUCAUCCAUAAAGCAAAAUCAUAUUGGCCAAAUUGUAUUGUUAUAUUGUGCGUGUGAAUAUGAAACAACAGAUUCCACUAUUAUGUACUACUAUAAUGCACCAAUUUUAAAAAUAUGGGAAAAAACAAAUCAAAUGUGCUAGGAAGUCAGAUAAAAACAAUUAGAAAUUAUCAAAAACCUAUUUGAAAUUUAUAUUCUAAAAUAUCACUAAUUUAUUUUUAUCUCAUCCUUUCAUGUUUUAAAUAUACAUAAUACAAAUGAAUAUAAUAAAAUUAAACAUAUAUAAGCAGCAAAAUGGGAAUGUUCUUGAUUAAAGAGGUUAGACUUUAACCAUACUGAUGGCGAGGUGAGUCUGAGUAAGCAGCCUGAUGUAGAGCAUACCAUUUAACAUUACUCAAUUAUUAAAAUGGAAGAAACAGAAUUUCCUUCCAGCUAAACCCUCAUAGAACCUUUACCACCAGAUUCAUUAGGAUAUGCCAGAAUUAUUUUUUUUUCUGCUGUUUAUUGUGCUGUCUCAUUCUUAUACAAAUAAACUCAGAAAUUCUUAAAAGUGGGCAAUAGAUAAGAAAAAGGGGUUUACAUCACAGCUUUUUCACUGCUGUGAUGUAAAGGUCCAACCAGAAAAAUGUGGAGGAAGAAAAGUUUGUUUGGGAGCUCAUGGUUUCAGAGCUCACAUGAUGAUCAGGAAGCAGAGACUCCACGUGUCAGAUACAAAUAUGUACCUCAAGCCACACCCCAAUUCCACCUUCUCCAACCAUACCCUACCACUCAGUUACCAUUUAAUUAAUCCCAAUCAGGAGAUUAAUUCAGUGAUUGGGUUAAGACUCUCACAGGCCUAUCAUUUCUCCUCUGAACCUUCUUGCAUUGUCUCACAUGUGAGCUUCUGGAGGACACCUCACAUCCAAACCAUAACAAAAGGUUAAUAAUGAGUUUAUCACACAAGAGUGAGAUCCUAAAUAGAAUAAGGAAUUUUUAAUGUAUGUAUAUUCUUCCAAAAUACAUUCUAUUAUCAUGUAAAACUAAAAAUAAAAAAGAAUACAUCCUAAAAAAUAAAAAUAAUCAGGUUAUUAGUCCCUAGAAAAUCGGAUUUUGUUUUUUUAAAUGCCUUAGAUAUUUUAUGUUGAUCAACUAACAAAAACAGCUUACCAUUGAGGAAGUUUAUACUUGAGCUCUAGAUAAUUAACAUCUAACUACACAGAGGAAAAAAGCCCAACAUUUCACAAGAUAUAACAUUUCUCAGAAAUUUAAGAAGGGACUAUACUUCGAUAUUUGCAUUUUAUGUACAAACCAAUCUCCUACAGGGACCCUAAUAUGAAAAUUAAAGCUAAAUUUCCUUGGAGUUCCAUACAACAUGUAUUUAUUCAUUCCUAAAACAAAAGACAUUUUUCUCAUAUUUGCUCAAAUAACCAGACUGAUGUUCUCAAAGUAUAAGAACACAGGUGAAGCUGAUGAUUGGAAGUUAGUUAUAGCAGUUGUAAUACCUGAAAUUCUAAAUGUUCUCAUGUUAAAAUAGUUAAUUUGAUACACAAAUUUUGACAUGCUCAGAUGGUAUAGAUGAUAAAUCUGAGACCUAAAAACAUGAAUAACUUGACCCAAGUAAAUAACAGAACUCAAUUAGUCUGCUGUUCCUUCCCUUAACACGCUGAUCUGGAAGAGACUUUGGAUAAUUGCUUGUAAUUAAAAAAAACACUGGGAACAUAACCUACUACUCAUGAAUCAAAAUAUGCUUUGCUCAUGGUACUGUGUUCAUAAUGCAGCUUCCUUUCUGAGCACUUAUCUGAAUUAAAUGAGGUUUAAAAUACUUUGUUCAUAAUCUAGGUUUCCACAGACGGGCAGCUCCAGUUACAAGAAGGCAGUUCCCACAUGGUGCACACAGGAUGGAUUACCUGCACUUUGAGGAUGACAGCCGUGGAUGGUGGUUUGAUAUGGAUAUGGUGAUCAUCUAUAUUUAUUCAGUGAACUGGGUCAUUGGAUUCAUUGUUUUCUGCUUUCUUUGCUAUUUUUUCUUUCCGUUUUAGGAAUUGUCAUACCUUACUUCAGUGGAACAAUCAUAAAUGUUGUAAACAAUAAAUGCUUAAACAUUUUUAAAAUGUGCUUUGAAGUUUUUAUAAUGUUGCAUUAUAUAAAUUGUUGGUGUUUAUAGAAGGCUUGAAAAUAAUGGAUUUAUUUAUUAAUGUUUUUCAUGUAGCAAACUUCUGUCCAGCACAAAGGAACAAUGCACUGUUAAUUUCAUAGUUCAUGGGUUUAGGAUUUGGAAGUCUAAUUUUACAGUGUCACUUAUGUUAUUUUGAUUGUAAAGACUGAUUUUUCCCUCAACUUAAAAAUAGUAAAAAUGCAAAAUGAAAUGGUAAUCUGGGUAGAUAGUAUCUUUAUUGAUAAGAUAUUUAAUCAAUGAUUUAUUCUUAGGUAAAUGAUAUGCAUCAAAGAUAAACCAUAUUCUCUGGAAACUAAUCUAACAGGGUAUAUAUUCCAGUUUGGUUCCCAAUUAUCUGUACUUGUGCCCCGUUCUAUUACCAAAAAAAAAAAAGCAACCUGACUAUACUUUGUACAGACCUAAUAAUAGCUUCAAUAUGACAUUUUUAAUUAUUAUAAGCAACAGAUUAGUAAAUACAAGCAAAUAAUGAGACUUCCCCCACCAAUAGAUAGUUGGAAAGCCAUAUUAACACUUCCAAUUUCAGGUUGAAUCACUUGAAGAAACAAAAAAUAUUACUGACUUUUAGAAGAGCAAUGCAUGUCCAAAAUGUAAUUAAUUUAGUGAUUUAUUUAGGAAAUUGUCAAAUAUAUUGUAAAUGUGCAAUAAAGAGUGACUUUAAAAUUUUUUAUUGUAAUUGAUUUAAUGUCUGGAACAAAGAAUUGUUGGAAAUAGACUUAUGUAUUUUUAGAAAAACUUGACAUUUACUUUUAUUUGUAUUAAUAUUUAUAAUUAAUUUUUCCUUAUUAUAAGAAAAAGAUAUCUGAAUUAUUCCAAUGUGGGAAGGAUUUGGGCAGAUAUCCCAAUUUCAAAAAUUAAAAAA
rnacentral:lncRNA from 1 species